rnacentral:rRNA from 1 species
GGGGAAUWUUGGACAAUGGGGGAAACCCUGAUCCAGCGAUGCCGCGUGAGUGAAGAAGGCCUUCGGGUUGUAAAGCUCUUUUHUAAGUGAAGAUAAUGRCGGUAACUUWUGAAUAAGCUCCGGCUAACUUCGUGCCMGCAGCCGCGGUAAUACGAAGGGAGCMAGCGUUGUUCGGAAUAACUSGGCGUAAAGGGCGCGUAGGCGGCCUGGUAAGUUUGAUGUGAAAUACCUGGGCUUAACCUGGGAACUGCAUUGGAUACUGCUGGGCUAGAGUGUUGAAAGGGAUGAUGGAAUUAUGCAUGGAGAGGUGGAAUUCAUAGAUAUGCAUAGGAACACCSGAGGCGAAGGCGAUCAUCUGGGCAACAACUGWCGCUGAGGCGCGAAAGCGUGGGUAGCAAACACSGAUUAGAUACCCUGGU